GCCAGCUGCGUGAUGUAGUGCAAAAUGCAGGACACACAAACACUGAACAUCGACAUCUUGAACGCACAUUGCGGCCCGGGCUUCUCGGAGCCUGGGCCACGUCUGUUCGAGUGUCAGCUAAGUAUCCCCCCRAUCUGCUGGAUCGAAAGAUCGAAAGCACCGGGGUGGCAUUG
rnacentral:rRNA from 1 species